GAUGGACGCUAGCUACAGGCUUAACACAUGCAAGUCGAGGGGCAGCGGUAUCGAAAGCUUGCUUUCGGUAGCCGGCGACCGGCGCACGGGUGAGUAACGCGUAUCGAACCUGCCUCAUACUCGGGAAUAGCCUUGCGAAAGUAAGAUUAAUGCCCGGUGUUUUCAGAGUCCCGCAUGAGGCUUUGAACAAAGAUUUAUCGGUAUGAGAUGGCGAUGCGUCCCAUUAGCUUGUUGGCGGGGUAACGGCCCACCAAGGCAUCGAUGGGUAGGGGUUCUGAGAGGAAGGUCCCCCACAUUGGAACUGAGACACGGUCCAAACUCCUACGGGAGGCAGCAGUGAGGAAUAUUGGUCAAUGGGCGGAAGCCUGAACCAGCCAAGUAGCGUGCAGGAAGACGGCCCUCCGGGUUGUAAACUGCUCUUAGUUGGGAAUAAAACGGGGCUCGUGAGCCCCCUUGCAUGUACCAUCAGAAAAAGGACCGGCUAAUUCCGUG
rnacentral:rRNA from 1 species